UACGGAGGGUGCAAGCGUUAUCCGGAUUCACUGGGUUUAAAGGGUACGUAGGUGGGUUGGUAAGUCAGUGGUGAAAUCCCCGAGCUUAACUUGGGAACUGCCAUUGAUACUAUCAGUCUUGAAUACCGUGGAGGUCAGUGGAAUAUGUCAUGUAGCGGUGAAAUGCUUAGAUAUGACAUAGAACACCAAUUGCGAAGGCAGCUGGCUACACGAAUAUUGACACUGAGGCACGAAAGCGUGGGGAUCAAACAGG
rnacentral:rRNA from 1 species